AAAAAUGACCCUCGGUAAUGGAUAUCUCAGCUCUCAUAUUGAUGAAUUAUAGAAUCCAGUGAACCAUCGAGUCUUUGAACGUAAGUUGCACCUGAAGCCAUUAGGCUAAGGGCACAUUUGCCCAGAUGUCAUGC
rnacentral:rRNA from 1 species